UACGUAGGAGACGAGCGUUGUCCGGAAUCACUGGGCGUAAAGGGCGCGUAGGCGGCUCAUGAAGGCUGUGGUGAAAGUCCGGGGCUCAACCUCGGAUCGGCCGUGGCGACUCGUGGGCUGGAGCACUGUAGAGGCGGGUGGAAUUCCGGGUGUAGCGGUGGAAUGCGUAGAGAUCCGGAAGAACACCAGUGGCGAAGGCGGCCCGCUGGGCAGUGGCUGACGCUGAGGCGCGACAGCGUGGGGAGCAAACAGG
rnacentral:rRNA from 1 species